GGGAAGAGUUCCUGUAAGUAGUUAAAACCAGUAAAUCACGAGAAACACAUACAAUUUAAAAAAAACAUUGCCCCCAAAAAAGAGAAAAUGUAUGAGAUGGUUAGACCUGAUAAAACAGAAAAAAACUAAACCAAUACAACUAGUACUUUUUUCCCCACCCAAAUACAACACGGCUCCUCAAAAAGAACAAAAUAGAAGAUCG